CAGCAGCCCAAGUUUGCCCAUUUGGGCAGAGGGAUCCUCCUCCCAUCGUCACUGCAAUUACAGGAGCGAAGCUGCAAACGCCUCUGAGAAGCGCUGGAGCCACAGGGAGCAGACGCCGGAGGACCCUGCGAGGGAAGCGGAAUGGAUCCAGCCUCAGCGUCACUGCGCUGCGCCAGAGCGGCUAAAGCUCUGCCUGCUCUUGUCGCUAGCCUGCAGCUGCCUUGGUUUGGUACCAGGGGAAGUCCUGACUGUUAAGCCAGGUCAGGGCUCUAGAUGGCUAUGAUGCACCUCAGGACUUUACUGAGCUGCUUGACAGCCAGAGGCUUUUACAAAUUGCUAUCUCAAACCAUGUGUGUUUCUGCUUCAAACUCUACUCCCUUUCGUGCUCGCUGUGCACUUGAGAGUUUUCAUCUGCCAUGUUUUGCUUGCUUAAAAACAAAGGCAAAGCAGCAGCAUCGUGUAGGGCUCAGAAGCACGUGGUACGCCCCGGAGGCAGAGAUGUGUUUUGGGACAAGGCUGCAGGGCUGAGCUGAAUCUGUCACACCUGCUGCUCCACUCUGAACUUCUUGUGCUUCUGGAAGGGAUCGGAGGCAAAGCUGACGACUUUGCUAAGUGUUUGCAGGAGCUUCUGCUGGCACCAGGGUCUCCCACGGAUUGUUUUUCAUAAAAUCACAGUGAAGAAAUGGUGAUGGCCUUAUGUGACCUGAGGCUGGGAGCCAGAGCCAGGAUUAGGACUCCAUUUCUCAGCUUCCAGUCCUGGAUUCUCUUCAUUAAGUGACACCUCAUCAUUACAAUAAUGAGAUCAUCCCUGUUACUUAAUUACGUUCUCCUUGUUGUUACAAAUCCUCUGUGUGGCAAUCCAAGCACUUGCUUUCUAAGGUUAGCAGGAACUUGGGGAGAUGUUUCCUGCCUCACUGUGAAGUUGUAUAUCAGUUACAUCUGACCUGACAUCAGCUUUUUCCUACCACAGCCCUGGAAAAGCUGAACUCACAUGCGUGCCCAUGUUCUGAGCAGACAGGCUUCCGCUGUUCACCUCCCCAGCCAGAGACACAACUGGGCUUUUUUUUUGCAAGCCUGUGAGACCGCUCAGGGGCUGCUCACACUGGGAAAGUGAAGUUUCUACAGCAUCAAGGCUUCUGGGGCUACCUCAUCUUUGCUUGUGGCAAAGCCGUGCCUCUUUAGGGUGCUAGCCUGGAGGAGGUUACCCCUUCCAAGAGGGAUCAAACAUGCUGAAAUCUCUCUGCUCACAUCUCUUAGGCUUUGUGCAAGAGACACUCUUCCUCCAUCUUAUUAAAUCAUAACAGAUCCUGAGGGUGAGGAGAUGCUACUUGCAGAAUCUGCUCAGCUUUUUACAACCCAGCAUUGCUGUCUUCUGAUGCUUGGGCAAAAAUAAGGGCUCCAGGAAGAUGAUUCAUUGUCAGAAAUCUACGUUAACUCGUUUGUAACUUUCCCCCACUGCAACUUCAUUGGGUGACUGGGCACAGAGUUAGCAGCACCACCAUGUAUUAACUGCCACUACUAAAAGUUAUCCCACAGAACUAGGAGCUUUGGAGAAGGAAAGCCUGGGACAACAUUUUGGCUUCAGACUGCUCCCAGCUCCACUUGUCUUGCCCCAACUCUCCCAGGGAUGACUGGGGUUGCAUUUUUGGCAGCCUCUUCAGCCUCAGGGAAGACAGGAGAACAUUGAGUUUCUGCGUGCGAGUCAUGGCAUGGCUCAUGUGGAGCACUACCUGCCAUGGCUCUUGCCAGCCCUGGCUACCAUGGCUGCCAGCACUUCCCAGCAUGGCUUCUGUUUGCCUUGGCAUGGUCUCCUUGGAUGUGCUGGUUUUCCCAGGCACAGAGGAAUUUAAGUGGCUUGCCCACAAUCAUGCUGAGAAUUUUGGCCAAAGAAGAAUUUCAUCCCAGGUGGUCCAGAUACACAAGUUGAUGUCUUAAACACCCAAACAUUCCUUUACAGCUGCUUUCGCUUCUCAGAUCUCGGGAGUCGUGUCCAAUGUCUCUUUCACAUUCCUCUUCAAAAUGCUUCUAGCUAUGUUGCUUGAGAUAAAUAAGCAGAGACAUCUCCUUGCUCUGGGUGUUAGUUUUUCAUCUCUGUACCAUGUCAGGCUGGGCACUGGUGCUUGCUAAGCUGGAGCAGAUGCCUCAAAUGCUCUCUCCCACUAACAUUUCACCUCUGCGUUACGAUCUUGUUCCAUGCCAUCAGAAACCAGCCAGUAACUCCUCAGGGCAGGGCUGCAUACCUGGGCAGGCUGGGAGGGUCUAGCAUACUUUCCACUGCUGAAAUAAUUAACAAUUCAUUAAUAGCUUGCAUGGAGUUCCACCAGCAGGUGAAGCAUUUUGCAAUGGCUAAGAUCUGGAAAGGAUCCUUUCUUGUAUUUAACUCUAGAGUUAUAACUCUGGAAGAAGAAAAAAACUUACAGGCAAUUCCUCCUACAACCCUGAGAAAUGUGGAGACUUCCCACCAGACAGACAGAUGCUGUCUUUCCCCCAGACAUCUGGAGACGUGCUUUGAUGCUCAUGGUGGGAAAUGUUCUUGGCUUGCUCUGACUGGAUGAGUAACCACUGCUAUCCAAGACAGUGAUUUUGCUAUGUAGUUCCUCCCAGCAGUAACUGGGAUUGGAAGGAACUGUGAGAGUAAUGUCACUGGGUAGCUGCAUCAGGGUGUGCAAAGAGGAUAAACACCAUCCUGUUAGUACCCCCACUGCCUUUGU